UGCAUCGGCCGGGAAGCGAACCUUGGCAGUCAAGCAUUCUACCACUGAACCACCGAUGC
rnacentral:tRNA from 1 species